rnacentral:rRNA from 1 species
GAUGAACGCUGGCGGCGUGCCUAAUACAUGCAAGUCGAGCGAACAGACGAGGAGCUUGCUCCUUUGACGUUAGCGGCGGACGGGUGAGUAACACGUGGAUAACCUACCUAUAAGACUGGGAUAACUUCGGGAAACCGGAGCUAAUACCGGAUAACAUGUUGAACCGCAUGGUUCAACAGUGAAAGACGGUCUUGCUGUCACUUAUAGAUGGAUCCGCGCCGCAUUAGCUAGUUGGUAAGGUAACGGCAUACCAAGGCAACGAUGCGUAGCCGACCUGAGAGGGUGAUCGGCCACACUGGAACUGAGACACGGUCCAGACUCCUACGGGAGGCAGCAGUAGGGAAUCUUCCGCGAUGGGCGAAAGCCUGACGGAGCAACGCCGCGUGAGUGAAGAAGGUCUUCGGAUCGUAAAACUCUGUUAUUAGGGAAGAACAAAUGUGUAAGUAACUAUGCACGUCUUGACGGUACCUAAUCAGAAAGCCACGGCUAACUACGUG